CUUACGGGAGGCAGCAGGGGGGAAAAUGGCGCAAUGGGCGAAAGCCGGACCCAGCCAUGCCGCGUGGGGGAAGAAGGCCUUCGGAUUGUAAAGCACUUUACGUUGGGAGGAAGGGUCGUCAGGGAAUAGCUUGGUGUUUUGACGAUACCGACCCAUUAAGCACCGUUUAACUCUGUGGCAGCAGCCGGGGUAAU
rnacentral:rRNA from 1 species